AGUUUUGACCAUAAGAAAAUUCGAAUUUAGAAUUCAAAUUUUCAAUUCGACCCUUGAUAAAUCUUCCUUUAAAGUUGUACACCAGAAAUAUGUACUCUCUUCUAUUCCUUUUUGUUAUGUUAACUUAUUUUUUGUGUGAUUUCUAUUUUUGGAUUUCUUAAAAACAAGUAUAAAGAAACUUCAUUAGGUUACUUCAUUAAUCACAUAUUAUUUAUGUGUGACAAUGAGAAUAAUAAAUUAUGGAAUAAAGGGAUAUUUUAAACUGGUGAAGUGGGUCCAAUAUAGUUGAUAGGGAAUAAUCCAAAGACCGGAGAUCACCGAGGUAAAAGGAAUAAUCCAAGUUUAUUAUUUAUAUAAUAAACAUACACGAGCUCCGUGGGUUCUGAUACACAAGUAGGUCAGAACUGAGAAACAAAAGAUUGACCACACAUUAUAUACCCUCUGGUGGGGAACUUCAUGGGAAUGGUAUGUGAAAGGAGUACGGAAGGGAGUGAGGAGGAGUACAAGUCAGUGUGAUUAGCUAGUUAUGUGAAAAUAAAGGGAGUAACACUAUGUGCGAGCUUCAAAGAUAUUGCACCUUGUUACUGAGAACAAAAACAUAACAGUAAUACGAACCUUCUCACAGAUGUUACACAUAACCUUGAACAGUUUCUAGAAGGGCCUCAUGGGCACCUAGAAACUGUUCACUCCAUUAAGGGGGGCCAAGCAAGGCCUGCAAGACUUUUCCCCUACAACACCUCCCUUUUGUCAGUAUUUCUGACAACAAUAAUACAAAACAAACAAUUAAACAUAGCAUACCUUAUAAAUGCAAUGCAUACAACCUAUAUGAGAAUACAUCUGGUAUAUAGUGUUCAUACACUGUGGUGGUUCAUUGAAGUCAAUUUUAGACUUUUAGUGUUCUUAGGAUAGAACAGAACAGGUUUAGAAGAACUUGCCUUUAGAAAAGAGUAAGACAAUAAGGAGGUACAGCAAGAACAACAGCAACAAAUGAUGUUAGGAAGACAAUAGAUGAUUAGGAUAAGGCCACCAACACAAACGAGGACAUACAGAAUGGUAUGGAAAAUCUUAGCACUGAUAUCGUGGAACCAUGUGGAUGGGUCCAACCAGGGGAAGAUGGAUUGUUCCUUGUGAUUGGUUAAAAAGGUGUCCUUCCUCUGCUAAACCUUUACCAGGUGCUUGUCAUCAAUGUAAUUACAACUGUACCUAACCCUCCUUGACUAGCUGGAAGAUAAUAUAACACUAAACAAUGCGGCAGAACUUCCUUCUUCAAUUGUUGGAGUUCAUGACUUACUAUCUUCAAACUGUUGUCAUAUUCAUUAGUAAUGUUAUCAAGCAACAACAUACUAGACAUAAGGCUAAAGGCUUUCUUAAUGCAACAUCCAUUUACCUCAGGGGAAGUUAAAGAGAGCUCUUGCCUUACCUUUAAAGAUGCACGCUUCAUUAGGAAGUGUGCUGGAAUCUGAGCUAUCUUAAUAUCUUUAGCUUCCAUAUACCAGGUGGGAUGAAGCAAUUUAGCAAUCAUACAUACCCCAUGGGAGCCUUUUGGUAGCCACGGAUAGGCACAUUCACCACAAACAAAGUAAUAAGCGGAACUGUUGAUACAAAGGCCAUCAGAACAUAAGUGUACCAACUUACCAAUAUCCUUGGGCGACACCGUUUUAUGAAACUGGAGAAGUGUCAAAUUACCCCAAGGCCUGUUAACUAUAUCCUGACAGGAUAGAGAUUCUGCUACGUAUGUUAUACUGCGAGCUGACAAAGGAUAAUGUGUACAUAUCCAUCAAUCAGUAAUAGUGUGGAUGCUGCUAUAACAUACAUUUUAACAAAAGCAUUAUCAUUAGGCUCAAACAGUUAUGAAAAGUCUCUUUUGACAACCUUAACCUGAUCGGUUGACGACAUAUUAGCCUCCGAAGUUGGUGAGGCUGCUGUUUGUUUAUUUGUGAGUUGUCGUUGCCUGCAGGCUUUAUGAGUGCUAUCGUCAGCACAGCAACGAAGAUAAUGAUGUGCAGUACGGAGACACAGAUGAUAAGUCUUUUAUCUGGCUUUGGGCCAAAGCAUCUGGCACACAGAGACAUGAUGGUGCUGCUGAGGAUCUUCACCCGAUGGGGACCUACGUCUUUUGCACUGCACGUUAGGGUCCCUGGGACUUAGGUGGUGGAGGGAAAGAGGCGUUAUUAUGUCCUACAAUUCCCCCCCACUUACACCGCAGGUGGAAGUUGAGAUUUCGGUUUCCCUUCAACCUUUACAGCUGUUUCUGUGACUAGGAGUACCUGGAAUGGUCAUUUUCAGCGAGGUUGAAGAUCUUUGGCACUGUGUCUCCUUAUGAGGAUCCAAUCUCCUGGAAUGAGAUCAUGUGGUUCCAGAACAUCCGCUGGAUCUGGUAAUGAAGAAUAAACUCGAGAACACAAUUUGGUCAGUUCCUUAUGUAACUGAGAAACAUAUUCAGUCAUUCGUCCAUAGUUCAUGCAAAGAAGAUGAGUAGAAGGAAAGUACUGAGCCAAGCGUGCUUGUCUCCCAAACAAUAUUUCAUAUGGGGAGAGUUUACUUAGCCUUUGGGGAGUGUGCAUGACAGACAUAAGCACUAUAUCAAGGGCAUCUGGCCACACAAGUUUAGUCUCUGCACAUACUUUACUUAGCCUGCUUUUAAUAACACCCUUUAGACUUUCCCACUAGCUUGGGGAUGAAAUGGUGUGUAACAUUUGAUGAAUCCCAAUGUCUUUGUGCAGAUUAAUUACAUCACCUGUCCCGUGAAACGUGUACCUUGAUCAGAGGAUAAUACCUCAGGCAGUCCAUAACUGCCAACAAUCUCUGCAAUUAACUCAUUAGCUAUAGCUUCAUCUGAAGCUUUUACAAUGGACCCAGGGAAUUGGUCAACACAAACAAUUACAUAUUCAUAGGUACAACAUGUAGGUAACUGUAGGAAAUCUAUCUGCAAUAUCUGAAAUUGUUACAUUGGUUUAGGUCAGUGUUUGAUAGGUGUUGGAAUCGUCUUACCUAGAUUAUAUUGCAAACAAAUAAAACAUAAUUAUACAUACUUGGCUGCAAUAGAUGAGAACCCGGGGGCAAACCACAUUCCUGACACUACAUCACAUAUCCCCCCAUAAAAAGUGUGGGUGAGAUCAUGUGAGGCAGCAACCAAAUAUGGUAACAGAGCACGGGGUGCAACAGGGCAAUCACCUAAAUGCCAAA